UACCAGCAUUUCACAAUAAUUAACAGUAUUAUUUUACAGUAACUUGUUGUAAUUAAGUUUCCCUGUAAUAUCCCAAUGAAUACCUGUAAAAAACUAAAGUAUCCUUGGAUUUUACAGCAUUUAACUCUUAUUUUACAGUAAAAUCUUGCUAUCUAAAACCUACUGUUAUAUCACAACAAGGUCUGUAAUAUCACAGCAACACAGUGUAAAAAAUAAGUAUUUCACAGCAGUAAACAGUAUUAUUACAGUGAAAUAUUGUAUUGAAAUUUGCCCUGGGAAGUCACAUGACAUAACCGAUCUGUUUUGAAUUGAAAGCGCUGUCGUCGUGUCCCUCUUCUAUUCCGGGCUGAAUGGAGAAGCAGGUAUCCUAGUUACAACAUGACUGAGCUAAGUUAACUGGAGAGCCAUCCAAAAUCAUUUGGCGACACUGGCAAGCACGGUGAUACUGAUGGAGACGGAUGUCACUCUCUUCUGCAACAUGUAAAAAUGAGAGUGGAGUAAAAAAAUAGGAAUAAAGCUCUUGCUCAAUGCUGCAGAGAAAGAAGACCGCUCACUGGAAUGGCAGGAGAGGCCAGACUGGCAAGAGGUCCUGUUGACCAAUACGGGUGUGUCAGGUGGGGCCCAGCAGAUUUGCCAGAGGGGGAGACCGAGGCAACGUUGGAGAAUAUAAAGAGGGAUCUGCUGAACAUCUACUCAGGCAUGCCAUCUACUCUCUUUUUGGAGGAAGGAAUGAGUGGGGCAGAGAGAGCAGAACCAAUGAUGGAAAAGACAUGCAUCAUCCUGCGGAAGUACCUUAACAAAGUGCCUGCUGCAGUGAUGUCUGAGAUCAAACAGGAAUGGCCAUUUCUCUUCUCUCAGAAAUGCCUAUUCUCACACUUAGACCUCCUGAUGGACGUUGAUGUCCUUCAGAAGCUACAGGAGGCAAUUAGUCGAAGAGGACAGACCAUCCUGGAUUACUGUGCAACACUGGACAACCCAAAGAUCCGUGAUGUUCUGGCCUGCUAUGAUCCAGACUCUGACAAGGCUGCCUGCAUCCUGCUGCUCCUAAUGUUGUACUUCAGAGAGUUUGAUGCUUGAAGUUCAUCCAUGUGCCACUGCUGUGGACGUCAAUACUGCAGAACUCCCCGGAACCCCCUGCUUGAUCAUUCAAGGUGACAUGAUGAAGCCCUCUGGAUGGCUUAUAUCCAUCAAGGGACAUGUCGUGAUGGGCCCACACCCUUUAUUUUUACAUGGAGUAGCACUUUCUUCAGCAGCUAUUACGUAUUCAACCUUGAGUAUCCUACCACUGGAUCUUCGACGCUGGAGUUCAUUCAAAGGUGCUUCCUGGGCAUCAAUCCUGAAAGAGGCUCAAAGACCAAGAAGCGGACAACUAUGAACCCUCAUGUGAGCACCCUUUUGAGGAAACUUAUUGACUUUGAGUGGGCACCAUAGGUUUUUUUUUUUUUUUUUUGCAGCGGUAGUUGUCAGGCUCAGUUUUGAGUAGCCUUGUUCUUUUUGUAAUUUUUCCAGACAACUUUGCACUACAAUGCUGUUGCGUGUGACUCUUGAAGUACUUGGCAUCUGCUGUACAAUUGAAAAAUAUUUUUUUCUUAAUAAAUAUGCCAUUGGGCUAACGUUGACUUUACCUCAGAGUUGUUUGUUGGGGGGAGGGGGUUAAUUGUACAAUGAUUGUAAAUUCACAGUAAAUGGAAGCUUCAUCUGCAUUACUUUUACAGUAAGUUAUUGGACAAUUUUAGCAUGACUUCCACAGUAUACAUUGUAAAUUCACAGUAAAGUAUUGUCAAAUUGUACAUUAUUUUCACACUACACACUGUAAAAGUACAGGGCCUUGUUGUAAUGAUGUACAGCAAAAGAUUGUAAUUCCCCAGUAAUGUACUGUAAUAUCACAGUAAUGCUGUGUCACUGAAGCUGUGAAGUUACAGUAUACAGUUGUGCUUUUACAACAAUGCAUUGUAAUAUCACAGAUAUAAAAUUACAGUAAAUUGCUGUGACUAUAUUUCACAGUAUAUUGCUGUAAUCCUUACUGUGAAAGUCAUGCAAAAUUUAUCCAAUUAUUUAUUGUAAAUUUAC